rnacentral:rRNA from 1 species
AGAAGAAGCACCGGCUAACUCCGUGCCAGCAGCCGCGGUAAUACGGAGGGUGCGAGCGUUAAUCGGAAUUACUGGGCGUAAAGCGCAUGCAGGUGGUUUGUUAAGUCAGAUGUGAAAGCCCGGGGCUCAACCUCGGAAUUGCAUUUGAAACUGGCAAACUAGAGUACUGUAGAGGGGGUAGAAUUUCAGGUGUAGCGGUGAAAUGCGUAGAGAUCUGAAGGAAUACCGGUGGCGAAGGCGGCCCCCCUGGACAGAUACUGACACUCAGAUGCGAAAGCGUGGGGAGCAAACCAGGAUUAGAUACCCUCGGGAG